rnacentral:rRNA from 1 species
UACAGAGGGUGCAAGCGUUGUCCGGAAUCACUGGGCGUAAAGCGCGCGCAGGCGGUCAUCUACGUCUGGGGUGAAAGCCCGGAGCUCAACUCCGGGAUUGCCUUGGAUACGGGAUGACUUGAGGAUCGGAGAGGCAAGGGGAAUUCCACGUGUAGCGGUGAAAUGCGUAGAGAUGUGGAGGAACACCUGUGGCGAAGGCGCCUUGCUGGCCGAUUUCUGACGCUGAGGCGCGAAAGCGUGGGGAGCGAACAGG